AUGAUGAUUCGCCCAGAACUCGAUUACUAUGCAGUGUUGAAUGUUUCUCGGGAUGCGCCCAAGGAGGAUAUAACGCUUUCGUAUCGAAAAUUAGCCAUACAAUUGUGCCCACAUCGUGACCCAAAGUAUGAACGUGACUUUGUUUCUAUUUUGGGACCCACUCAUAUGCAACCUUUAUCUUUGAAUCGCCAAUGGGAAUACAUUAAUAUGGCUUACGAUGUUUUAGGUAAUGAUUUGCAUAGAGCCAUUUACGAUCGUUUCGGUGAGGCAGGACUGUUUCAAGGAAUACAAUUGCCAAACGGUUACUUUCCACCUUAUCAAUAUCACGGCGAUCAUAUGAAAGUCUAUCACGAUGUUUUUGGCAGUUAUUCACCUUACGCGAACAUUAUUGAUAUUGUUACAAAUCCUCCAUUACUAUAUUCUACCCUGGAACAUGGUAUUGGGGUACGCACAAAGGACCCGCCCGUGGAGAAAAUAAUUUAUUUAGAAUUGGAAGAGGUAUUUAAAGGAUGUACUAAAUUAAUGCAUGUUUGGAGGCAAGAAUUCCUUGAUUCCAAAGAAGAACGUACAGAGAAGAGAAAAAAGACACUGAAGCUCAAAAUACAACCAGGCACUACCCCAGGUACACGAUUUUGCUUCAAAGAGGAAGGCGACCGUAGCCCAACAAAAAUUCCCGCGGACAUUAUAUUUAUUACAGCUGAUAAGCCGCAUCCGGCAUUCGAACGUAGUCAACAUCACAACUUAGUCUAUACUCAUAAUAUAACUUUAAAGGAUGCACUUGUGGGGUUUAGUUUCACAAUACGAACUUUGGAUAAACGUUCAAUAAAGGUUAACAUUUCGGAUGUUGUUAAUCCCGACUAUAUCAAAGUAAUGCCAAGAGAGGGACUACCAAUUUGUGAAAAUAUACCGAUCGCCCCUGAUAUGAGGCCAGCUGGAGUCAAGAAGAAGAAGUUUGGAGAUCUAAUAAUUAAAUUUCAAGUCUUUAGUUUUUGAGACUGUCCCAACUUUCUUGGAUUCCAUUUCAUUUAUUUUUAUUGAUAUUUUGAGAACCCACUGUCACAGCACUGCUGGGCGCAGUAUAUUGAGCGCAGCGUUUAAGUUGAAUAUCCAAAAUUCAUGACAAACAAAAUGCGGAUUCUAACUAGAGAAUUGUUUUGUGAAUUACAAGAGCUCCAAAAAGAAGCAG
rnacentral:misc_RNA from 1 species